CCAAGAAAAGUUAUCAAUUGAUUACACCAAAGUACACAAAUUCCGCAAAUAAAUUGCAUUUAUUUUAAUUUCAGCCACACAUAAAUCAAUGAUCGUAUUAUAUAUAUGUUAAAAACAUUAAAUACCUUGGCUGUUUACAUGUCUUGUAGCUAGAUAAAAUGUAAAAAAAAGGUUUUAAUGUACGCAUAAAUUUCGCCACUAGUUUUUAUACGAUUCUAAAUGAUUUGAGUGCAAUUGUGAAAUUAGCAUAUGAAUUUUUUAAAUUUUUUAUGACUUGAAGAUAUAGAAGUAACAAGUUAAAAACUUUAUAUUUUAUAUAAAAAUAACUUUAUAUAAAAACAACCUAAUAGAGACCACAAGCAAUUUCUUUUAAAGAAGACUUUCUCGGUGCUGUAAUCAUCUGUAAUCCAACACUUGUCUCCAUAGAACCCACAUGUCUUUAACACUGACACCUGUUCAUAUAUUUUACUCUUCAUCGAUAUUACUAUUGAGACAGAAGCAUUUCUCUCAUUAAACAUCCAAUGUUGGAAAAAGUAGUUUACUGCUACGGACAAUAAAAGGAUAGCAUGUGCGAUCGGAUACGUUUUAUAAACAAGUCGCUUAUAAUAGAUUUUCUCACCUAAUCGGAUUUAUAUUUUUAAAGCGAACUAAAAAACUAAAGUGUGAGAUUUAGUUUUAUUUUUUAUGUUGCCUAAUCCUCUUGUGUUAUUUAUUAUUCUGUUGUCCAGAACACGACAAAAAGUUAGACAAUCCACUUUCGAAUGUAUGCAACCGGGACGAAAUUCAGCAUUGCCUCACACAGUUUCGCUGCCCUAAGGCUUCUUUCUAACUUUCUGCAGGCAGCAGGCAAACGCGUUACCAUCAAGGCAGAAAAAACAUUAUGGAUGUAGAAAUUCGAAAUUUCUCUAUUUGCUCCUAAGAAAGCGCUUUAGACCGAAGUUUGAGUACGCGAUACUUGAAACAAGUCAACACUGUGCAAAAUUCGCCCAACGGCCCAAUGGGCGGCGCGCCCAGUGUAAAAGGCGCGCCGGCCAUUUUCUUCUACAAUCGUCGCAGUUCAAAUAUUUUGUCGCCCGGAAACUCAUUAAAAGAUAACCGCACAAUUGUACACAACACAUUAUACAUAAAGUAAACCAGGCUGCUUAGUCAAACAUUGGCUGACUCCAUUUUACGCUGGACGAUUAAACUAGUCUCAGUUCCGUGAAGCAGAGGAGAAGAACGUAAAAUUAAUUGUGUGUACGAAACAUCUGAAUUAAGCUAGUGUUGAGUCCAGCUUGCUAUCAUUUUGUACAGACAUAAUCUGUAUAGUAGCCAAUAGUAAUAUGUAUAUAGAAAAUAAUAAAAGGUUGACGUGUCAGCGCUGAUGUAUAAACCUGACACUUCAGAAGAAUGUAUCAAGUGUUUGACAGUUGAUCGUGUUUAUAUAAUAUUAGUGAGGUGUCUAUGUUCACCCUUUUCGUUAGCUUAUAUCACAACAAAAAUGUUUGUCUUAGCUGGUUUGGGUUUUUUAGAUUCUGAAUGACAUUUGACGGUUUCUUGAAUAAUAUGAAGUAUAGAAUUUCUUGAAAUUGGCGAAAAGUCUAGGACCCUUAGCUUCGAUGGCUAAAGCAGAAAAAAAAAAAGAAAAGUGAGACUGUGGGAGAAGGCUACGUUGCUCAAACAAGGAACGGGUUACCAUCAAGCUUCUAGCACGAAAAUAUACGCGUAGCCCAGAAAUUAGCGGAAAAUAUUUGUAUACAGUUUAAAAAGCGCAGAAUUUGUCUCAGCCCAAUCUGAUUGGUACCCACAGAGCUCAAAUAGACUUAAGAGUAAAUCAUUGGUCGUUAUGAGCAAAGCCGUUUUGUGUUGGGUUUGGCCCUGUUAACAGUCUAGUUGUUUUUAUUUUCGUAUCGUUGGUAAAGCAGAUCGCAAAACAACGUUAUCAGGGUGAUUCAAUAGUUGAAAUAUGCCGUUUCAACUGAUAUCGAUGUGGAUAGACGCAUCACAGACUAUUCAUUUAUUUCAUCAAAUUCCGUUUUGCAACCUUAUUCUUGGUACUAAAUCAAGUUGCGAAUACUGUGUCACAAUUCAGCUUAUUUGUAACUCGGGAGAAAAAAAUGAUCUAUUUACCCCGUUCACAGAACACCUUGAAGUAUAAUCAUUAUCGUUCCUAUCAAAUAAUCAUUUUGCGAUAUGCAUAGUUUCUAAAUAAAACAUUGGCUUGUUUAAAUCGUGA
rnacentral:lncRNA from 1 species